AUUAGACAAGCUUUAUGUGUGUGGGCGUAAUUCUUUUAAGGCAGUAUGGAGAAAAACGCAAAGACAUCAAAGGCAUCCUCGUGCAAAAUGGGAGAAGGUGGAGGUGUAUGGGGUGAAUGUGUUCGUUUCAAAUGCUAAUAAAAUUGUGAAAAGAAAUAUUUUUAGCUUAACGCCAUAAUUCUUUUUCAUCGUGGCCUUUGCCCAACGACCCCGGUCGCGUGCUUUUCCCUCCGUAAACAAAGCGCCAUUACUAAACCAAAACAAACAACCACAAUAAAUAGUAACAACGAUGCAAUCAAAUUUAUGGUUAUAGGCAAGUACCAUGUAACGAUAGCGUAACAAAGAAAGCUGCACUAAAAGGGUUGCGCAUUUUUUUAAUCUAGUAAACUUGAUCCACUCGACUUUGAUUGACAUUCACCUGACUAUAGCCUUGUCAGCCUAAGCCUUGGACUAGACUAUAGUUUUCUCUGCCACACUCUCUACGUUUCUCUACUCUUCCGUACGUUGUCUUGGUGUGGCAGGUGGUUGCGAUUGUAUUGCUUCGCUAGGUAACUUGAAGGCUCGAUGGAAAACAUGGCAAAAGGCACUUGUCGAAAUUCAUGUGCUGGAUUGGGUUAUUCGAGAAAGAAAUGCCGAAGUUGAUAACGAGAUUGUUUCCAAAAGGAUGCCAAUUUGGGUCACUUAGUAGACAAAAGUUACGUAAUUUUGUAUUUAUCUGAAGGUGCGUUUGCAGGUGGAAAAGGAACUUUGUCCCGGUUAACAACCGCUGCAGUCACGGCAGAGGAUAGCGUAGAGUGGCGGAAUUCGUUAGUGAGGUUCUUUAGAGGGACGAGGCAGAAAGCGGUAGAAGGUGUUGAAGGGAAAAUAGCAGAAGCUAAUGGAAUACGCUAAAAAUAGCAGUGUGUGGCGAGAUGCGGUAGGAAGAAUAACGAAAAGAAUGUUCCAUGGCGAACUUUUUGUUAAAGUGUCAGCAAUACUACACUACGCUAUAAUACACUACAUUGCGUAUCACUAUAUGUCACAUGUUCUAAUUAUAUAUCGUACUAUGUAUGAUACGAUAUUGAGAUUGAUCUUAAUGAUAAUCUAUUAAGAUCUAUAUUAUCUGAAUACUAUAAAUAGAGCUACUGCUGAACCUCGUUCCUCAGUUCAGUUAUGAGCUAUAUUAGUGAUAGGUAACAUUAUAACCCAGUUAAUACAAUACCUAUACUCAGUUGCUACUUAUACAACCUGUGU